GACGAAUUCUCAAAUUCAUAACAAAGCGAGCUGUCAAGUGUGAACCUAGAAGAACUAUGUCAACAGAGAAUAUGUUGGAAUCAUCCAUGGAAAACAGUGAAAAUCCAAGAGAAGGUAAUUUUGCAUAUAAUCACACAGAGGCUAUAUCACAGAUAGAAGAUAUCAACAAGCAGUUGAACGAAUUAAAGACCUCCCUCUGCAAGUCAAUAGUCAAAUGUCAUUUGUUGGAAGUGGAUCUUGCUUCACAGUUCAACCCUCAUAUGAUACAGACUUUAAGACAGACAGAGAAAGACUGCAGCCAUUGUUCGAAGAAAUUAGAGCUUCAUUUCUCCAAUUCAGUAAUCACCAAUUAGAAAAAACAUCUUACUUUGCUAUUUCAUAAUACCACAAUUUGUUAAAUAUUUAUUAACUAAUGAAUUAACAAAUAAAU